UACGGGGGGGGCAAGCGUUGUUCGGAAUUACUGGGCGUAAAGGGUUCGUAGGUGGCCAACUAAGUCAGACGUGAAAUCCCUCAGCUUAACUGGGGAACUGCGUCUGAUACUGGUGUGGCUUGAGUGCAGGAGAGGAACGCGGAAUUCCAGGUGUAGCGGUGAAAUGCUUAGAGAUGACAUAGAACACCUAUUGCGAAGGCAGCUUACUACGCCUAUAUUGACGCUGAGGCACGAAAGCGUGGGGAUCAAACAGG
rnacentral:rRNA from 1 species